rnacentral:rRNA from 1 species
AACUUUCAGCAACGGAUCUCUUGGCUCUCGCAUCGAUGAAGAACGCAGCNAAAUGCGAUAAGUAAUGUGAAUUGCAGAAUUCAGUGAAUCAUCGAAUCUUUGAACGCACCUUGCGCCCCUUGGUAUUCCGAGGGGCAUGCCUGUUUGAGUGUCAUU